rnacentral:misc_RNA from 1 species
UGUUGGAGUAUGCAUUGGUGUAUGGGGAUUAUAAGGGUAUACCAAAGCAACAAAUUAGGGAUCAUAUGGCUAAAGGAUUGGAUAUUGUGUUGAGAGUUGAUAUACAAGGUGCAGCAACACUGAGGAGGAUUUUGAGAAAUUCUGCAGUGUUUGUGUUCUUGGUGGCGGAGAGUGAAGAUGCAUUGGUUAAGAGGUUGAUUGAUAGGAAGACUGAGACUAAAGAGACUUUGCUAGUGAGAAUUGCAACGUCUCGAGAGGAAGUGAGGCAUAUGGGGGAGUUUGAUUAUGUGGUAGUGAAUAGAGAAGGAGAGUUGGAGAAUUCUGUUAAGUUAAUGGAGUCUAUUAUUGAUGCUGAGAAAGCUAAAGUGAGGCAAAG